rnacentral:rRNA from 1 species
CCUACGGGAGGCAGCAGUGGGGAAUAUUGGGCAAUGGGCGCAAGCCUGACCCAGCAACGCCGCGUGAAGGAAGAAGGCUCUCGGGUUGUAAACUUCUUUUUUCAGGGACGAAGAAAGUGACGGUACCUGAGGAAUAAGCCACGGCCAACUACGUGCCGGCAGCCGCGGUAAUACGGAGGUGGCAAGCGUUAUCCGGAUUCACUGGGUGUAAAGGGCGUGUAGGCGGGAAAGCAAGUCAGAUGUGAAAACCAUGGGCUCAACCUGUGGCCUGCAUUUGAAACUGUUUUUCUUGAGUACUGGGGAGGCAGACGGAAUUCGUGGUGUAGCGGUGAAAUGCGUAGAUAUUAGGAAGAACACCAGUGGCGAAGGCGGUCUGCUGGACAGUAACUGACGCUGAGGCGCGAAGGCGUGGGGAGCGAACAGGAUUAGAUACCCUAGUAGUC